rnacentral:tRNA from 1 species
GCCUGGAUGGCUCAGUCAGUAGAGCGUGGGACUCUUAAUCUCAGAAUUGUGAGUUCCAGCCCCACACUGGGUG